rnacentral:rRNA from 1 species
UACGUAGGGUGCGAGCGUUAAUCGGAAUUACUGGGCGUAAAGGGUGCGUAGGCGGUUACUUAAGUCGGAUGUGAAAGCCCUCGGCUUAACUGAGGAAGUGCACCCGAAACUGAGUAGCUAGAGUACUAAAGAGGGUCGCGGAAUUCCCGGUGUAGAGGUGAAAUUCGUAGAUAUCGGGAGGAACACCGGUGGCGAAGGCGGCGACCUGGGUAGAUACUGACGCUGAGGCGCGAAAGCGUGGGGAGCAAACAGG